CAUCCCAGACUUUCAAAAGCCCUUUCUACCGCCAAUUAACCACAGCACUGGCUCAGCAUGUCACCGCCAACGCCCUCCGCGGGGGUAAUCCGUUCCCUACGACACUUCAUAUCCCGCCCAUAUUGCCUCUCUUCACCCCUGUCCACCUCCUCCAAGCGCACCUUUUCCCUCCUCCACCGACCACCACACACCACACCUCCCUUACGCCGUAAACUGACAUCCGUCCAAUAUAUAUGUACACCAUCGUCCCUCUCUUCACCAUCGCGGAAAUUCUCUAGCACUCUCUACCACAAUGCCACGUUGAACCAAGUCCGUCGGGGUUGUCGGAAGGGCAAGCGUGCGCGGAAAACCACCUCGCCCGCGCUUGUAGGCCGGCCGCAGAUGAAAGGCGUGUGUCUGAAGACGGGAAUCACGAAGCCGAAGAAGCCUAAUUCUGGAGAGCGCAAAACGGCGAGAAUCCGGUUGACUAAUGGCGCGGUUGUUACGGGGUACAUCCCAGGCGAAGGCCACAACAUCCAACAGCACAGCGUCGUGUUGAUUAGAGGCGGCCGGGCACAGGAUUGUCCUGGUGUGCGGUACCAUCUUGUCCGUGGAGCGUUGGAUUUGUCUGGCGUUGGCAACCGUAUCACCAGCCGCUCGAAGUACGGGACGAAGAAGCCGAAGAGUGCUUAAUGCAGUUCGGGUAGAUAGAGGAGAGGACGUGAGGGAAAGUUAGAAAGAGAAGAAGAGAGAUAGGAGUGGGGGGCUUUUGUUUUUCUCCUACUCCGAAUGUACGAUUUGGAUCCAUUUAUAUCCUUUGUGAUGUGCGAGCAUCGCCAUGUAUUCUGCCAUAGAUUUGAUCCAUCAAUCAAGAGUUAGUAAAGCGUACAUUAGUUACUUCUAUCUUCUGCCCCUCCCCCCAAUGUGCUACUUCUAGCACCGAUGGGAGAGCACUUAUGGAACUCAUUGAAUUCAAAAGGUUUUGGUGGCCUUCGCUAUUGCUAAAAAAAAGCAGAACCAUUCAUUUUAAAACUUCCCAAAUAUCUACUCAUUCCUUCUUCUUUCCUCGAUUUGCCAUUCCUCGGCACCAGACGCAUAACUCUCGAUUUAAAAGCACAAGAUCACCACGAUUAAAAAUAAAAUAACAGGGUCAUUUGACAUGUACUGCAAAAAUAUCAUCAAUCUCCGUGAAACAUGGACUUUUCUCUUCAUUUCUUCUUUCCUGGGAGAUGAAAUGAAACAAAGAGAAUAUAUAUAUAUAUAACUUUAUAUAUAAUCAUUAUAAUGGAUGAUUUGGUUUUCGUGUGGAUGUAUACAACUAUUAAAUCAUGACAUGCUUCAUAUGGGGCUGACAACCCAUAAGAAGCAGAGGAAAAAAACAAAUCAAUCACAAAAAUAUUUUAAUAAGAAAACGUACAUUUUUCCACAUGACUCCGUGAAAUUUCAAUAAAAGCGGAAAUAGAAAACGACAAGGAAUAGAAAAUAUUAAUAAAAGCAAAGGGGGCAAGGAAAUGCAAAAUAUCCCAUGUCUAUACAGCCUGGAUGGGGUAUGAAAACGUAUGUCAACUUAUGAAUGAAGCACACGAGGGCAUCAAAAUGCGAAGGAAAUAAUGACGAUUAAAGGCAAAUAUCAGGGUGAAAUAAGAGAAUGUAGGAUUGGGGAAGCGGAGGAUGGAGGUAUAUAGGAUGAGGGGGAAGAGAAAAUGGGACUUAGGCUAUCUUUUCCAAGGCGUACGCAACUUGCUACUAUUAGUACAACGGUCAGGAUGAUGAUACCGCAAAAGAUUGUGAGAAGCCAGUUCGGUCAGUCCGUUUCUUUUUCAUAACCUUUAGGCUUCGUCAUCUUAUUAAUGUCGAAGUAACGGGAUGUACAAGAAUAUCCUUUCCAGUCGAAGUUGUCACGGGGAUUGCAGUGGCAUUUCAGAUCCAAUCUCAUCUGCUCGCCCGUCGGGCAAUGGACAAAGGGAACAUGGCGAUAAGCGAUCUCAUUGAAGAAGUGGAUUUCCUCCUUUUUGAGCAUGAGGGCAGCCGCGAUGGAAUGUACAGGCGCAUCACCCCAUCUUUCAUAGAAAAAUCCUCCAUCUUUGUCUAGGAUAUCGAAAUAAUCGAGGUAGGCUUGCGAUCGCAACCAGUUGAGAUCACCAAUUUCGAAAUUCGACCAAAAAUGGCAAAGGUUAUAUGUCUUCCCUCCAUCCUCGCUGAUGAAUUCCAGGUUAUUGUCCUCUACAAUAUGCUGAGGGUACUUCUCCAUGAAUUUCUUGACACUAUCCCAGAUCGUAGCUACGGUGUCUCUGUAUUCAUACAGACUGAUAACAAAGCUAUAUUUCUUCUUGUUGUCUUUCAUGAACUUGAACGGGUCGAAACCGAUGUCACAGAAAUAUUCGAUGCUGGGCUCCACUCGCCAAUAGUAGUCGAAUUUCUGGAGGAGCUCCUGGCGGAAAAAGAAUCCAGAUUCAAAACGGCACAUGUGUCUGUAGCUGAUGGAAUCUCCGUAGAUGACUUGUUUCUCCUUCAUAUCCUGCCGAACCUUGGCGGCUUUUGCCUGGUCGAUAAAGUCAGGGAACGACCAGUGCUCUUUCGGAAUGACUCCAUAAUGCGUUUUCCCCGAUACAAGAGCAGUAGUUAUCUUUAUGAAUUGGUCGUUGAAGGGCACGUCAUUAAGAAAGACCCAGUCAUAGUGAUAAUUCCGGUUGAAUCGGUCCUCCACCUGGCGGAUCGACUUGGCGAUCUCCCAAAUAUCCCCAUUUCUGGCCAAAGUCACGAAUGUUGCGUUUACUCGUUCAUAGGCAGGUGCUGGAACAGUUGAAGAAGUGUUGGAAAGUGGUGAAACUGAUAGAGGAGUUGAGGGGCUAUGGCUGGUUUGUUUUGACCCGGACCUGAGGUUGGACACGACAUCGCUUGUGCUCGGGAGAGGUAGUGAGGAGUAUGAUAUGAAAUGUAGAAUUGCAACACACAGCACUGCAAAUAGAAUGUACCGUAGGUACUUUCCAGAGACCGAAUUCAUCACGGCGCAGGGGUCUGUCAACCACGUUCUGGUUCACACAGACGCGGAAAUUCGCUUCGUCUUUUUCUCGUCCCUUUUUCCUGUCGUUGUCCUUUGAAAUUUCAAAAGCUAAGGAGGGAAAAAAAGGGUAUAAACUGGGUUCCAAUUCAAAGGAAAUCCGAAA
rnacentral:sRNA from 2 species